AUGUUGCUCAGUUUGUCUGCUCUGCUGACGGUGCUCUGUCUGCCCUGUCUGAAUGGUCAGGCUAUGGAGUCCAUUCCCUCCACUCCAGUGUUGAAAAAUCCUCAGGAAGCCCUCAGUCUUUCCUGUAGAGGAACUGGUUUCAAUUUUGGUGGCUAUGGAAUGCACUGGAUCAGACAAUCUGCAGGAAAAGCUUUAGAAUGGCUUGGAGUUAUUUGGUCUGAUGCAAGUAAAACAGUGUAUGCGAGCAGUGUGGAAGGACGUAUAGAAAUCACCAGAGACAACAGCAACAGCAUGGUGUAUCUGAGACUGUCCAGCCUAAAGCCAGAGGACUCUGCUGUGUAUUACUGUGCCAGAUACACACAGUGGUGUAAGUAA